rnacentral:rRNA from 1 species
AUUAUGGCUCAGGAUGAACGCUAGCGGCAGGCUUAACACAUGCAAGUCGAGGGGCAUCGGGAGUAGCAAUACUGCCGGCGACCGGCGCAAGGGUGCGUAACGCGUGAGCAACAUGCCCGUAUCAGGGGGAUAAUCCAUGGAAACGUGGUCUAAUACCCCAUAGUAAUUAUGUAAGGCAUCUUAUAUAAUUUAAAGCUUUGGUGGAUACGGAUUGGCUCGCGUGACAUUAGCUGGAUGGUAAGGUAACGGCUUACCAUGGCUACGAUGUCUAGGGGUUCUGAGAGGAAGGUCCCCCACACUGGAACUGAGACACGGUCCAGACUCCUACGGGAGGCAGCAGUGAGGAAUAUUGGACAAUGGAUGGAAAUCUGAUCCAGCCAUGCCGCGUGCAAGGAAGACGGCCCUAUGGGUUGUAAACUGCUUUUGUAUGGGAGCAAUAAGGGCUACGUGUAGUCCGAUGAGAGUACCAUACGAAUAAGCACCGGCUAACUCCGUGCCAGCCGCUGC